UUAUGGAACGUGCUUUCGGGGGUCUAAUGCCCGACGGCAUCAGCGCAGGGGCGAGCAGAGGGGCUGGGGGCGCGCGCCAGGGCGCUGCCGGAUUAGAGAAGACGUCAGAGGGGCGCGGGGCGCCCGGGUCUUUUAGCGCUUCCCCACCCCUCAUCCCCCGCUUCCGAGGAAAGCAGUGAGGACUGUCCCGGGAGGCGGACUUUAGGUCUUUUAGGCGUAUGUGAAAGGGAAAGAUGCCCUCGAAUGUCCUGACUUCUGGGUGGGAAAAAGGGACUCAGUACCAAGCCACUGAACUUCAUACAUCUGUCUAGUAAGGGGAAUUGCGAGCUCUGUGUUCAGAGGAAGCGCUGCUCCGAAACGCAUCACUCACCCCCAAAUCAGAGUCGCCGGGCCUGGAGAGAAUGACCUCAACCCCCGCGAGCCGCCAUUCUCAGAGCUGCUUUUUUGGGCAUACAGGGAGGCACCUGGGGAGAGAAGCCAGCGCCUGGGCAGGAAAUACAUCCCCCUUCCCACCAUCCCUAGUGGGCGGACAAACCCUCCCCGAGCGGGUGAAGAGACAAGGGAAGGAGAGGAAAGUUCCAGGAUGCAAGGGGGAGGGCGAGGAGAAGGAAGGGAACCUGGCAAGCAAGGAAAAAGAAAAGCAAACAGGAAGAGAGAGAGAAGACGGUAGUGAAAAGAGAGAAGAUGGGAAGGGGGGGGGGUGGGUGGCAGCUGGUGGGCAUUACCGCUUUCCGGCAGAAGGGGGCACCUUUCUGGCCGAGACAGUCUUCCACUGGGCUGGGGAGGAUGCCUAGGCAGAGACGCCCUCCGGCCCGGCACCAGGGUGCUGGGCGCCCCCUCCUGGCGGCUGCGCGGCCGCUCUGUGCUGUCCCGCGGGUGUUCCUGACCAGCGACUGCUCUGCCCGCGGCGACGGGGAGGAAACGUUCCUUUCCAAACGGCAUGGACUUUUGGACACUUCCACACUAAGACAACUACUUCAGCCAGAACGUGGGACAGGCGCUCACAGGAUGUCACCCUUGAGGAUAAAUACUCGCUAGUUUCCGGUGAACGGUGGAAAAGGAAGCGGCUGGGGUGAGGGAGGCUCAUCCUCGCAUAUUUAACCUGGGGAAGGAGAGAAUAAUUGGAAGGUGGGGAGGAUAGGAAAUGUGGUUGCUCCUCUCCCAUCCUUUCAUUUCAGAUCUUUCCAAUGUUUUUAUAUCUUUCACUUAAAAAAAUCAUUCCCCUUUCCUGAGUUUGGAUGAGGCUGGGGAGCAAACUUCCCAAAAAAGGAAGGUGAUGAAUAUGGGAGAGGGCCAAGGGAGAUGUUCAGGGAACUCAAACUCUCCAGCUUCCACCUAUUUCUGAGGGAAAUGCCAUCAGCCAUGGGUUUUAGCCCAAUGUAAGGGGAGCUGAUUGGGUGUAUGGGCGGUGGUGGGAGGUCUGAAUUAAGGGAAAGAAAGAAAGAAAGGCAGACCCUCUCCCACCCCAAGGCAUUAAAAGACACCCCCUCCCCCAGCUGUCUUGUGUCCGGCAGAAUGGCAUUAUGUAAAAAAUCUGGCACGUCACCCAGUGGCACAUCUGGUAGGUGUAGAUGGCAUUCAUUAGCACAGGGUUUCUACUCUGCUGCAUGCCAAAGCCCUGACAGAGAUGCCCGCUGCCAAUCAUUCACUCGCUGCCAAUCCCAGAGCGCGGCCUGGCGGGAUGGCUCCCUUCCACCCUGGCACUGGGACUGGAGGAAACAAUGUGUUGAGAUAGGAGGAGACGAAAGCGGAGCUGAAGAUGCGAGGCACCCAACAGAUGUAUCCAGUGAAGAGAUAACGGUGCGAAGAUUCAUUUAGCAAGAAAGCAUAUGCAGGAUCGCAGGAGGGAGGCUUGGGCAGGGGUCUGCCUACCUAGGGCUGAGCUGGGGGAGGGGCAGGGGAUCCCCUUCAGAAACCUCAAAGUUGAAGUUGCUUCUCUAAAAACACACAAAGACCAUUCUCCCCAACCCUAACUCUAAGACCUCCUCUCUCUCUCCCUGCCCCCAAUAUGUGCCUCUGCUUAACUUACUAGCUCUGAAAAGAUGAACUACUCUGCCCUCCUCAAGACUUUCUGAUUACCAACAUAAAGAGCACCUUCCUGUCUUUAAAGCUGCAUCAUUCUCUUUGCCUUGUAAUUUGAGGAGGGAGGGAGGGAGGGUGUCAGGCUAUCUUUACUGCAUUUUAAAAUGUAAAGUGUGCCGGGACUGAGUUGCAUAUAUUAAUAAUAUGGAUAAAAAAAAGAACGUAUAGGUCUAUUUCAAUUCCUAGCCUUUCAGAGGGGAUAAAGACAAACAAAGGAAAGCAAAGGAAUUAUUAAAAUGGCAAAGGAUGGAUAAAAGUAAAAUCUAUGUUAGAGGUUGUCUCUGACGUUAUGCUUUUUCUUAGGCUGAAUGGUGGUUACCUAGGUAGUCGGUGGUGUAUCGUUUUUAUUUAUGCCAUGCACAUAUUUUAUAAAAAUUCUUUUUAUCCAUUGGAUAUUUAAUGAAACAACAAAACUCAGAGGUUUGAGGAUCUGUGGAACUCAGUGUUUAAGUUGGGUCUCACAGCUUUUUAUUGAGUAUACAUGUAGAUAUAUGUAAAAUUACAAUAAUCAUUUUAGUGUAAGUAUAUACUAUGAAGUGUCUGAGGCAUGCUUAUACUGGCUCGUGGUCACAAGAUGGCUAUUAUAAUUCCAGGCAUCACACCAUUGUUCUAACCAUGAAAAAAUGGACAGGAGCAAAGAAAAGUAAUUCUUUUCUUUUAUCAGUGAAGGAAAUACUUUGACUUUUCACUAGCCAGACCUGGGUCACUUGGCCACAGAUCCUUGCAAAGGAGUCUGGGAGAACUAGCCUUUAAAGUGUCAAAAGAUAGGGAUAAGCGGACUGGGAGCAGGUUGUUGAAUUGCAAGCAAGGAUGUCUGCCAAAAAACUGAGGGCAAAGAAGACAAUGUUAGCACCAGGCAAGAGCACAUUAUCAAGUUUUACCAUUGUUGUA
rnacentral:lncRNA from 1 species